rnacentral:rRNA from 1 species
CACGUAGGGUGCGAGCGUUGUCCGGAAUUAUUGGGCGUAAAGAGCUCGUAGGCGAUGUGUCGCGUCUGCUGUGAAAACUCGGGGCUUAACUCCGGGCCUGCAGUGGGUACGGGCAGACUAGAGUGCGGUAGGGGAGACUGGAAUUCCUGGUGUAGCGGUGAAAUGCGCAGAUAUCAGGAGGAACACCGGUGGGCGAAGGCGGGUCUCUGGGCCGUAACUGACGCUGGAGGA